rnacentral:lncRNA from 1 species
AGCAAACGGCAGGAUGACCAUGCCAGUUGCUCUGUCCCUUUUCCAAAGCUUUCCCAGAACUGUACCCAGAGACCCCACUCACAUCCCAGUGGCCAGACUGGAUCACAUGGCCAUUCCUACCUGCGAAGGAGGCUAAAAAAGGUGACCUUUCUAGUCUUCUGGCCUCUUCAAUAGAGGAAAGUAGAGAGAAGGGAGUUGUAAGUCUGCCCCUCCCCCACCCCGGGCGCUAAGAGAUGGGGGGUAACUCUGCAAAGCUGUCCUUCUGCCUCAAAGAUCAUUCCGCAGACACUGCUCUCUCCGUUAGAGUGUGCGGGGAAUAUUGGAAGAAAGGAAGGAUCCUUGCCCCUCCCCCAUUCACAGCAGAGCAGAACAGCAGGUUUGUCUGUUCAAAAACACAUGCCUUGGGAGUUGCUUCACUCGGGGUCAAACCUGUCUUCUCAGCAGCAAAGAUGAAGAAUUAGGAAAAACCUGGGAUUAAAAGGAGCAAGAGAGAACAUUGUCUUUAGAGGGAGUGGGCAAGAACGACCCAAGCUUCUAGGCUCUAAUCUGGGAGGCACAGAGGAUCGGGAAGGAUCUGAAAAACUGACACUGAACCUUCGCGAAGCAGAGAGAGAAGCUGGGGAGUUGGGAGGAGUCCACAGAAGUGAAAAGCUCCUGACCUCUGAGCCUCAGUCCCCACGUCCCUGAAAUAAGAAUAAGAACCAUACUUGCUCUGCCCAUUUCAAAGAGGUGGUGUGAGGAUUAAAGGAAAUGGUUAUAUCAUAUUAAGACCUAGGAGACGACAUCUGAUCCAGAAAUCUGUAAACGUAGGAAAAUACAGUCUCUCGUCCAAAGAAUCGCACUCCGGUGUUUCUUCCAAUUCGCCAAGCAUCUACCUUGUGCUGGAGCAGUUUCAUUAAGUCAUAUGGUCUUAGAGCUUAAGAAGUCUUUGAGACAUUUAAGUUUAAUCUUCUCGUCUUUUUAAUUGAGAUAAAACUCACACAACAUAAAACUCUUAACCAUUUUUUUUUCUUUUUGAGGAAGAUUAGCCUUGAGCUAACAUCUGCCACAAAUCCUCCUCUUUUUGCUGAGGAAGCCUGGCCCUGAGCCAACGUCCGUGCCCAUCUUCCUCUACUUUAUAUGUGGGACGCCUACGACAGCAUGGCUUGCCAAGCGAUGCCAUGUCCGCACCCUGGAUCUGAGUUGGCAAACCCUGGGCCGCCAAAGCGGAAGGUGCGAACCUAACCGCUGCUCCGCCAGGCUGGCCCCACUCUUAACCAUUUUAAAGUGUACAAUUCACUGGUUUUUGAGUAUAUUCACAAUGUUGUGCAACCAUCACUACUAUCUAGUUCAGAACAUUUUUAUCGUCUCAAAGAGAAACCCCGCUCCAACCGAGCAGCCACUCCCCAUUUCUCCCUCCCCCGCCGCUGUCAAACACGGAUGUCCUUUCUGUCUCCAUGGAUUUGCCUGUUUGCGAUGUUUCAUGUAAAGGGAACAUGACAAUACGUGCCCUUUGCCUCUGCCUUCUCUCAGCAGCAUGUUUCAGAGGCUCACCCAUGCGGCAGUGCACGUCCUUUCACGGCUUCAUCCCUGUCUACGGCUGAACAUACCUGUUGUGUGGACAUGCCACAUUUUUGCAUUCAUUUUCUUCAUUCACCAGUUGAUGGACAAUGAGUUGUUUCCACUUUUUGGCCAUUAGGAAUAACACUGCAGUGAGCAUUCACCUACAAGUUUUUGUUUGGACGUGUUUUCUGUUCUCUUGGGCGUGGAAUUCCUGGGUUAUACGGUAACUCAAUGUUUAACUUUCUGGGAGAUGCUUUUCCACAGCGGCUGCACCCUUUCACGUUCCCGCCAGCAAUGUCCAAGGGAAGCGCCUUAACCUUAAAAUGCAGUUUCCGUGGCCAGGAGGAUGAGUGACUUGCACGACGUCCCAACAGAACUAGAACCACAAGCAAGACUCCCGACGUUGUGCCGGUGCUCCUGUUACCAACAGCCCUGCUGAGAGGCCAAGGGGAGAUGCCGUGACCCAGCUUCUGGAAGGUCUACUCCACUAAAGUGAACUCUUCCAAUAACACGCUGGUUUUAACACAAACGCUCAGAACAGUAAGACCACUGGUUAAGCCCAUUUUUAAGGCACUUUUCUGAGAGAUAAGCCUUGACUCUUUCCCCUUCUUCCUAGACCUUGUUCUAUUUCACGCCCAUGUCAUUCCUUACCCAGGCCUUCAGGAAGGCAGCCCCAGCUCUCCCUGCCUCCUGUUUCCCCCGCUGCCCUGACAGCUGUAGCCUGCUGUCCCCAGCCAACCGUCCACCCAAAGAGCAGGCACAUGGUUCUUCUGCUGUGAUGACAUCCGUGAUUUCUCAGAGUCCAAACCUUCCCAACUCGGGCCCCACUGCCCUUUCCAGCUACUAUCCACACCCCCAACUCACUUUGUGCUCAAGCCAAGGUCAAAAGAACUGACCAUCUCAACGUGCCCAGUAUCUUCCUGCUUUCAUGAUUUUUCCAAAUUAGUGUUAAUCCAAAAAACAAUACUGGGAGCCUCCUCUGUGCCAGCCCGGGGGUUCAAAUGAGCACAUUUCCUGCCUUCAAAGAUUGAACUCGCAGCUAAGUAGCGAAGCUCCCGCUGAGCAAAUAACAAGAGGGCCUCCAGCCGGCCGCUGAAUGCCAGCAUUCAGAGGACGCCCCGUAGCCCAGAUUCAGUGCCCUCUGCGCGAACUGCCACUAAGGUGCAGAUUUGGGUUCAGUAGGUCUUGGGUGGAGGUGAGAUUGUGCAUUUCAGCAGGCUCCCAGGUGCAUGCCACAGACCACAAACUGAGCAGCACGUAAUCAGCACACAGACUUGUUGGCCGGACAAGAACUGCUCCUGGAACACACACUUAUGGAGCACACCCUUCCCCUGCUGCCUGGUGCUCGUGAAAGGACUUCUCGUCUCGUGGCAUGGGGUCCGCAGUGAAGGGGAGGAAAAUGCUCCUUGACUAAACCCCUUAUCUUCUGUGGAAAUGCACACCUUUGUCGAGGCAGAAUGGCAAGCAAGUCCAGAUCCUUUGGAUGGACACUGAGUAACAGGGCAAAGAACCAAUCUGUCCGCAGUGUAUUAACGAAUGUCCUUGGGAGGCAGAGGGCCCCUGAGUAAUUGAUGAAUGGGGCCGCUCGGUGUUUGCCGCAGCUCUGGCCGAUGCUGCUCAUUAUGGGAGAUGAUUCCCUCUGUUCUGUGGAACAAAUUGUUCCAAGGUCUAACUGCGCUUCCCUUGCCAUUUUUUUUUAAUAAAAAGAAUGCACCUGUGGAAUUCAUAUGCAUGCAGUUGUGUCCAGAAUAGAAAUGAGAGAAUUAAUUCACGUCCCAUGGCUCAUCAUAGAGCAGCCUCAGAGGACCCUGUGAAUGAGCUUGGCUUUAGGAACCACUUCUUUCCUCCGAGAGGAGGAGAGAUACAGACAGUCAAGGCUCUGCUGGCUGCAAAGAUUUCAAGAGCAGGAUGAAUUAAAAUGAGACCGUCUUCCCCAAUAAGGCUUGUUAUUUGCUAGGUUUGGCACAGGGACAAUUGGUAUUGAAAUUGUAUGCCUACAUUUUAGACUGUGCAUCUGGGAGCUAAUUCAGUGUGUCCAGGUCCUGGUAGCCAUGUGUUUCUAAGUGCUUAGGGUUGCCUUGUGAAAACUGGGUCCAGAGAACAGUUUGAUUUGGCUCUCAAAGUGUGAGGGCUUAACCAGCACAUGUCAAGCUGCUGUGGCUCCCUCAUAUCCCUUCUCUGUCCCCCAAUUUGGACAUUUCUCUGUUUCACCUUUCCAAUUUAUGAUUUCGAUGAAAAGAUGCCUAUUUGUUUUGAG